GCGACCGUUGCCACAGGUAAAUCUAAUAGAGGAUAAUAUUGUUUUUAUUUUAAUUUCUUUGAGUGUGAACACGUAAAGUUAGUUUUAUUAUUUGCAGUGUGUGUGACUAAUUUUUGUGAAAUAUGUCAACAAAAAACGAGAUUUCUUAUGCCGAGGACCGAUGUCGAGAAAUCGAAGAACAAGUAAAAGAGCUGGAAAAAAAAUUGGAAGAACAUCCCGAAAACCUGAAAAACAAAGCCCUCCUGGUAGAACUUAAAGAAGUACAAAAAUUACUGAAAAAACAUACCGAACAACUGGAACAUCUUAGAAGCCACGAAUCGCAACCACUAAAAAUCGUAAUGGGACUUACUUUGGUGAUUUUUAUUUUUUGGAUGAUAUUCGUGUUGGGUAGUAACUGGUGGAAUGCGGUAGAAGAAAAGACUGGUGUAAAAAUGAGUAUGGAUAUGUAAGGCUGAAAAAGACCAAUAUUAUAUUAAGGAAUUUUAAAUGUAGGAGAAGGAUGUUAUUUAUUAUAAACACUAUACAGUUUAUUUCAUAGAAAUAUUUAAUUCACAGAGCACUUCACAGCUCUUCAAAACCCUUUCAUUAAAUUAGCUAUAUCUUUGAACAAAA